rnacentral:rRNA from 1 species
AGAACGAACGCUGGCGGCAUGCCUAACACAUGCAAGUCGAACGCUCCUGGGGCUUCGGUCUCAGGGGAGUGGCGCACGGGUGAGUAGCGCGUGGGAACCUGCCCUGUUGUGGGGGAUAACCGAGGGAAACUUCGGCUAAUACCGCAUAAGCCGGUUGUCUUGAAAGAGAUGGCCGGGAAAGAUUUAUCGCGACAGGAGGGGCCCGCGUCGGAUUAGCUAGUUGGUGGGGUAACGGCCCACCAAGGCAGUGAUCCGUAGCUGGUCUGAGAGGAUGAUCAGCCACACUGGGACUGAGACACGGCCCAGACUCCUACGGGAGGCAGCAGUGGGGAAUAUUGGACAAUGGGCGCAAGCCUGAUCCAGCAAUGCCGCGUGAGUGAUGAAGGCCUUAGGGUUGUAAAGCUCUUUCGCCCGCGACGAUGAUGACGGUAGCGGGAGAAGAAGCCCGGCUAACUUCGUGCCAGCAGCCGC